ensembl:lncRNA novel transcript
GCUGGACCCUGACCUGAGACCUGGUGACAGGAGCCAUGAGGGGCCAGGCCUCAGGUCCCACAGGUCAGUUGCAAGGGCCUAGCACAGCUAGCCCCCUGAGAGGCCUCCCUACUUAGUGGUCAGGUGUUAGGAAGGUUUGGUGGGGCCACUUGAGGUGCCCUGGGGUUGGGGUGAAACCCCUCUGCAGCCUAGUCAGCCCAAGGGCAUUGUGAAAGUGACAGCUGCCAGAGGUCUGGGUUCCAGCCCCUGGCUGACAUUAAACUUUUCUGAAUUUCGGUUUUUCCCUGUAAAUUGGGGAAAAUUACUUGCCCCAGCUUCAACACUGCCUCCCCUCCACCCUUUUGCUGCUGCCUUAUCAGGCCCCAGCUGUAGGCAGGUCAGCCCACGCCCGGCGGCAGAGCCCAGAGAGGCUCGCUCAUCUCAGCCGCCAGAAGUGUCAUCCCAGGGAAGUUACUCGGGAGGCUGAGGCAGGAGAAUCGCUUGAACCGGAGAGGCGGACGUUGCAGUGAGCCGAGGUCAAACCAGUGCACUCCAGCCUGGGCAACAGAGCGAGACUCCAUCUGAAAAAGAAACAAAAAGAAAAAAAAAUUUUGGACCCGCUGCAGCUGGGAGGGGAGCUGUCCAGGAGGCCGGCCUGGGAAUGAGCACAGGCCUGCGGCUGGCAGAGAGCCGGGUCGAGCCAGCCCUGGAGAAGCAGGCCCAGCUGGAGGAGCAGCUGCGGGACAAGGUGCUCCACGAGAAGGACCUGUCCCAGCAGCAGAUGCAAAGCGACCUGGACAAGGCUGACCUCAGUGCCAGGAGGGUCCCUGGUGGGUGCUGCAUGAGGCAGGCGUCACUGCAGAAGAGUGACAGAGCUGGGCCUGGCAGUGAAGCGUCUACAGAAGCAGAAUCUGGAGAAGGAUCAGGUCGACAAGGACCUCACCGAGAAGCUUGAGGCCCUGGAAUCCCUGCGGCUACAGGAGCAGGCGGCCCUGGAGACAGAGGAUGGAGAGGGGCUACAGCGGAGCCUAAGGGACCUGGCACAGGCCGUCCUGUCUGACGCUGAGAGCGGCAGCCUGCGUCCAACAGC